rnacentral:rRNA from 1 species
UGGGGAAUAUUGCACAAUGGGCGCAAGCCUGAUGCAGCAACGCCGCGUGAGGGACGACGGCCUUCGGGUUGUAAACCUCUUUUAGUAGGGAAGAAGCGAAAGUGACGGUACCUGCAGAAAAAGCACCGGCUAACUACGUGCC